GCAUUGGUGUUUCAGUGGUAGAGUUCUCGCCCGCCAUGCGGGAGGCCAGGGUUCGAUUCCCGGCUGGUCCA